UCGAUCUUAGCGUUGGAACGAUAUUGGUUGACUCGAUAGAAAACUUCUGGUCGACUCGAUUCCAAUCGUUUCCGUGCGAAUCA